UACAGAGGGGGCAAGCGUUGUUCGGAAUUAUUGGGCGUAAAGGGCGCGUAGGCGGCUAGAUGUGUCAAAGGUGAAAUCCCUCGGCUCAACUGAGGAACUGCCUUUGAAACUGUCUGGCUUGAGGCCGGGAGAGGGUAGCGGAAUUCCCAGUGUAGCGGUGAAAUGCGUAGAUAUUGGGAGGAACACCAGUGGCGAAGGCGGCUACCUGGACCGGUUCUGACGCUGAGGCGCGAAAGCGUGGGUAGCAAACAGG
rnacentral:rRNA from 1 species